AACGAACGCUGGCGGCAUGCCUAACACAUGCCAGUCGAACGAGACCUUCGGGUCUAGUGGCGCACGGGUGCGUAACGCGUGGGAACCUGCCCUUAGGUUCGGAAUAACUCCCCGAAAGGGGUGCUAAUACCGGAUAAUGUCUUCGGACCAAAGAUUUAUCGCCUUUGGAUGGGCCCGCGUUGGAUUAGCUAGUUGGUAGGGUAAAAGCCUACCAAGGCGACGAUCCAUAGCUGGUCUGAGAGGAUGAUCAGCCACACUGGGACUGAGACACGGCCCAGACUCCUACGGGAGGCAGCAGUGGGGAAUAUUGGACAAUGGGCGAAAGCCUGAUCCAGCAAUGCCGCGUGAGUGAUGAAGGCCUUAGGGUUGUAAAGCUCUUUUACCCGGGAUGAUAUUGACAGUACCGGGAGAAUAAGCGCCGGCUAACUCCGUG
rnacentral:rRNA from 1 species